GGGGUUGUGGCUCAGCGGUAGACCACCGCCUAGCAUGUGCGAGCCCCUGCGUUCGAUCCUCAGCACCACA
rnacentral:tRNA from 1 species